AUUGAACGCUGGCGGCAUGCUUUACACAUGCAAGUCGAACGGUAACAGGCCGCAAGGUGCUGACGAGUGGCGAACGGGUGAGUAAUGCAUCGGAACGUGCCCAGUCGUGGGGGAUAACUGCUCGAAAGAGCAGCUAAUACCGCAUACGAUCUAUGGAUGAAAGCGGGGGACCGUAAGGCCUCGCGCGAUUGGAGCGGCCGAUGUCAGAUUAGGUAGUUGGUGGGGUAAAGGCUCACCAAGCCAACGAUCUGUAGCUGGUCUGAGAGGACGACCCGCCACGCUGGGACUGAGACACGGCCCAGACGCCUACGGGAGGCAGCAGUGGGGAAGUUUGGACAAUGGGGGCAACCCUGAUCCAGCAAUGCCGCGUGCAGGAAGAAGGCCUUCGGGUUGUAAACUGCUUUUGUACGGAACGAAACGGUCUGGGUUAAUACCCUGGGCUAAUGACGGUACCGUAAGAAUAAGCACCGGCUAACUACGUGCCAGCCGCCGCCGUAACAC
rnacentral:rRNA from 1 species